GCCCCCAUAGUUCAGUGGAUAGAACGGGCGCCUCCUAAGCGCCAAACACAGGUUCGAUUCCUGUUGGGGGCACCA
rnacentral:tRNA from 1 species